CCCCCACGCCCUGCGGCCCCUCUCGGCUCUGAACAGGGGCCCUGCUCUCUGGGACUCCACAUCCCUGCAAAAUUUGUCUCCCCUUCCCUGGGUUCCUCCCCCGGGGCUGAGCUGAGGACAAGGGCCUGGCCUCCUCCUUGGAGAACCCCACAGCACCCUGCAUUUCGGCGUGGUCCAUGGGCUCUUCUCAGGGGCUCCUCACGUUGUGCAAAGGGGUAAGGGAGCAGGGCCAGCUGCAGAUCUCCCUCCCGCUGUGACAAGGACAUCCUAGUCGAAGAGCCCGUUUAUCUUCGCUCUUAAGGCCAGGCUCUCUCAGGUCAUUGUUGCCAAAGAAAUGAAUUGCAGCACAGCUCCGCAGGUCCCUGCACAACUGGGGCAAGGGCUGGCACUGGGCCAGCGGGAACCUGUUGGGGAGGCUGCAAGGUGCUUCUCUGCAUCCAAGGCUGCCACACCCUGUGCACACUGUGGAGCUGGGUGGAUGGGGUGUGCUCAGGAGGGGCUCUCGGCCCUCGGCUGGGAGUCAGAGGCGUGGUGGGUGGGGCGGGGAGGGGUGUCACAGCUGCAGGGCAGCCUUGAUGUCUGCACUUGGCUUUUUAAUUUGUAGUCACAGCCAACAAGUGUGGAAACCGCCUCAGGACCGGCUUGAGUGGAGCGGCUGCGGGAGUUACUUCAUGACUGUGGUCUCACGCUGUGUUUCGCCACCCAUCCCUGCCUGGCCUGGCUUCCUUCCUUCCUCCUGGGUAACAGAGUCCCAAGAUUCCAAGUUCCAGGAGCAUGAAAGGACUCACUUGUGGAGAUUCCUGCCUGGGGCUCCCACCCACCUAAGGAAUGCCAUCCUUGUCACCGGCUCACGGGGCAGCUCUUUGGUAUCCUUCCAGGGUGGUGUGUACAAGUACAGGCACAUGGAUGCAUGGAUGCAUGAGCAUUUUUUUCUUUUGCCGACAUAUUAAUACACCCGGCAGCACUCUAGGCCCAUUGGCCUGCAACUUUUCAUUUGAUUGAUUUUUAAUUAUUUACUUUUUUAAAAAAUUGUAGUUAAAUAUACAUGACAUAUAUUUACCAUUUGAGUCUUUUUUUUUUUUUUGAGAUGGAGUCUUGCUCUAUCUCCCAGGCUGGAGUGCAGUGGUGUGAUCUCGGCUCACUGCAACCUCCACAGCCUGAUCCUGGGUUCAAGGGAUUCUCCUGCCUCAGCCUCCCGAGUAGUUGGGAUUACAGGCGCCUGCCACCAUGCCUGGAUAAUUUUUUUUUCUUUUGAGACGGAGUCUUGCUCUGUCACCCAGGCUGGAGUGCAGUGGUGCAAUCUCAGCUCACUGCAAGCUCCGCCUCCCAGGUUCACGCCAUUCUCCUGCCUCAGCCUCCCGAAUAGCUGCGACUACAGGUGCCCGCCACCACACCGGCUAAUUUUUUGUAUUUUUAGUAGAGACAGGGUUUCACCGUGUUAGCCAGGAUGGUCUCGAUCUCCUGACCUCGUGAUCAGCCUGCCUCGGCCUCCCAAAGUGCUGGGAUUAAAGGCAUGAGCCACUGUGCCCGGCCUAAUUUUUGUAUUUCUGUAGAGACAGGAUUUCACCAUGUUGGCUAGGCUGGUCUCAAACUCUUGACCUCAGGUGAUCUGCCCUCCUCGCCCUCCCAAAGUGUUGGGAUUACAGGUGUGAGCCACAGCACCCAGACCAUUUUUAAGUGCACAGUUCAGUGGUAUUACAUACAUUCACAGUGUUGUAUAAUCGUCACCACCAUCCAUCUUCAGAACUUUAUGCAUCUUGCAAAACUAAAACCUGCCCCCAUUAAACAGCAGCCCCCCUCAUCCCCUGCCCCCAACCCCUGGCAACCCCUAUUCUACUGUCCGUGCCUAUGAACCUCACUACUCUAUGCACCUCACAUACGUGGAACCACAUGGUAUCUGCCCUUUCGUCGCUGGCGUCUCUUAGCAUAACGUCCUCAAGGUUCAUCGGUGUUGGGGCACGUGUCGGGAUUUUAUGGUGUGUGAAUGACGUCUCAGUUUAAAAUGUUCUAGAGUUACCCAGUGGUGAUGGAUACACAACUCUGAAUAUGCCAACAACUUCUGACUGGUACACUUUGAGUGGGUGAUUGUAUGGUCUUUGAAUUGUGUCAAUAAAGCUGUCAUUUAAAAUAAAAUACCAAUCCGUGCUGGCACAGAGA
rnacentral:lncRNA from 1 species